UGUGCUCCACCUUCAAUCCAUGUUCAUGCUUCUUCCAACUAGAUUCAUAAGAAGGACUUGACAUGUUUGUUGGGGUCCCAACAUCAAGCCCCAUUCUGUUGCUGAUAGAAGACAGAGCGACUGAACUGACCAAGUGAGCUGUGGUGCUCAGGCAAGACACCUUGCAAUGUGGAGAUCCUGUGAGCUCAGAAAGUGCUACAGCAGCCCCAAGUGAGGUGAACUACAGAAAAGUAACCUGUGCAUUAUCAGCAGCAUCUAACAUUCUGCUGACUGCUUCUCCAUGCAAUUUUGGAUGGUAAAGAGGAGGCUUCAAGGCGAUCUUUUCCAGAUGUUUGGCAUCCUCUUGGAAACUUGAAGACAAAGCCUGAGCCUUAAAGGAUUUCUGAUAAACUCUUCCAAGUACACAGGAGGAUUCUACAUGCCAGAUGCUGUGGUCCUUGUAAGAUCCAUCCAUGCCAGCACAGGAG